rnacentral:rRNA from 1 species
GACGAACGCUGGCGGCGUGCUUAACACAUGCAAGUCGAACGGAAAGGCCCUGCUUUUGUGGGGUGCUCGAGUGGCAAACGGGUGAGUAACACGUGAGUAACCUGCCCUUGACUUUGGGAUAACUUCAGGAAACUGGGGCUAAUACCGGAUAGGAGCUCCUGCUGCAUGGUGGGGGUUGGAAAGUUUCGGCGGUUGGGGAUGGACUCGCGGCUUAUCAGCUUGUUGGUGGGGUAGUGGCUUACCAAGGCUUUGACGGGUAGCCGGCCUGAGAGGGUGACCGGCCACAUUGGGACUGAGAUACGGCCCAGACUCCUACGGGAGGCAGCAGUGGGGAAUAUUGCACAAUGGGCGGAAGCCUGAUGCAGCAACGCCGCGUGCGGGAUGACGGCCUUCGGGUUGUAAACCGCUUUCGCCUGUGACGAAGCGUGAGUGACGGUAAUGGGUAAAGAAGCACCGGCUAACUACGUGCCAGCAGCCGCGGUGAUACGUAGGGUGCGAGCGUUGUCCGGAUUUAUUGGGCGUAAAGGGCUCGUAGGUGGUUGAUCGCGUCGGAAGUGUAAUCUUGGGGCUUAACCCUGAGCGUGCUUUCGAUACGGGUUGACUUGAGGAAGGUAGGGGAGAAUGGAAUUCCUGGUGGAGCGGUGGAAUGCGCAGAUAUCAGGAGGAACACCAGUGGCGAAGGCGGUUCUCUGGGCCUUUCCUGACGCUGAGGAGCGAAAGCGUGGGGAGCGAACAGGCUUAGAUACCCUGGUAGUCCACGCUGUAAACGGUGGGUACUAGGUGUGGGGUCCAUUCCACGGGUUCCGUGCCGUAGCUAACGCUUUAAGUACCCCGCCUGGGGAGUACGGCCGCAAGGCUAAAACUCAAAGGAAUUGACGGGGCCCCGCACAAGCGGCGGAGCAUGCGGAUUAAUUCGAUGCAACGCGUAGAACCUUACCUGGGUUUGACAUGGAUCGGGAGUGCUCAGAGAUGGGUGUGCCUCUUUUGGGGUCGGUUCACAGGUGGUGCAUGGCUGUCGUCAGCUCGUGUCGUGAGAUGUUGGGUUAAGUCCCGCAACGAGCGCAACCCUUGUUCACUGUUGCCAGCACGUUAUGGUGGGGACUCAGUGGAGACCGCCGGGGUCAACUCGGAGGAAGGUGGGGAUGACGUCAAGUCAUCAUGCCCCUUAUGUCCAGGGCUUCACGCAUGCUACAAUGGCUGGUACAGAGAGUGGCGAGCCUGUGAGGGUGAGCGAAUCUCGGAAAGCCGGUCUCAGUUCGGAUUGGGGUCUGCAACUCGACCUCUUGAAGUCGGAGUCGCCAGUAAUCGCAGAUCAGCAACGCUGCGGUGAAUACGUUCCCGGG